rnacentral:rRNA from 1 species
AUUGAACGCUGGCGGCAUGCCUUACACAUGCAAGUCGAACGGUAACAGGUCUUCGGAUGCUGACGAGCGGCGAACGGGUGAGUAAUGUAUCGGAACGUGCCCAGUUGUGGGGGAUAACUGCUCGAAAGAGCAGCUAAUACCGCAUACGACCUGAGGGUGAAAGCGGGGGAUCGCAAGACCUCGCGCAAUUGGAGCGGCCGAUAUCAGAUUAGGUAGUUGGUGGGGUAAAGGCUCACCAAGCCGACGAUCUGUAGCUGGUCUGAGAGGACGACCAGCCACACUGGGACUGAGACACGGCCCAGACUCCUACGGGAGGCAGCAGUGGGGAAUUUUGGACAAUGGACGCAAGUCUGAUCCAGCCAUGCCGCGUGCGGGAAGAAGGCCUUCGGGUUGUAAACCGCUUUUGUCAGGGAAGAAAAGGCUCCUUCUAAUAUAGGGGGCUCAUGACGGUACCUGAAGAAUAAGCACCGGCUAACUACGUGCCAGCCGCCGCCGUAA